rnacentral:sRNA from 1 species
UAUGGGGUCAGUCCAAGGAUGAGAAGCUUCGACUAAGGUUCGACUCGAGCGAAGCGAGAGAACGUUGCCGCAGGCAACGGCCCGAAGGGCGAAGCGCUUUAGCGCCGAGUAAUCCUUCCCCCACCA